rnacentral:misc_RNA from 1 species
GACGGAGGGGGCAAGCGUUGUUCGGAAUCAUUGGGCGUAAAGGGCUCGUAGGCGGACUGGCAAGUCUGACGUGAAAUCUCCACCGCUCACCGGGGAGAGGUCGUUGGAUACUACCAGUCUUGAGUUCGGUAGAGGGUCGUGGAAUUUCGGGUGUAGCGGUGGAAUGCGUAGAUAUCCGAAAGAACACCGGUGGCGAAGGCGGCGACCUGGGCCUGAACUGACGCUGAGGAGCGAAAGCUAGGGUAGCAAACGGG